rnacentral:misc_RNA from 1 species
AUGACAAGAUAUAUUUGUGCUGCUGCUUGAUUCACUUCUACAAGAG